UUCUGAUCAAGCAUAUGCGUCCCAUAGUCCCGAGAACACCAAUUAGGUUAACAUUAUAAGACUCCUUCGCCUCAUACAUCAGCUAUUUCUAAAGGUCAAAGAUGGGGUCAGUCGGGUUCAAAUAUGUGUUUCUUCAGGUUCACGGUACAGAGGAAGGGUCAAACUACCACCAGGGUCAUAAAACUACCCCUGGAAAUGCCCACAACUCCUACGAAAGCCUUGUCAAAUAGGUGUUUCUAGGUUCACGGUACAGAGGAAGGGUCACACUACCACCAGGGUCAUAAAACUACCCCUGGAAAUGCCCACAACUCCUAUGAAAGCCUUGUCAAAUGUGUGUUUCUAGGUUCACGGUACAGAGGAAGACUCACACUACCACCAGGGUCAUAAAACUACCCCUGGAAAUGCCCACAACUCCUACGAAAGCCUUGUCAAAUA